GUCCUCCUAGGCAGCACAUGUACUGAAAUCGCAGCCACACCGAGGAGGUCAGCAUGGGCCCUGUGCAAGGGUGGUAUGCCAACUCGUGAGGCUGUCCCUAGUUUU
ensembl:snRNA U6 U6 spliceosomal RNA